UUUGUUGAGCUUUUGUAAUGAUGAAAUGAUAUAUAUAUUUUGAUACUUGAUUAUUUUAUGAUUUUAUUGUGUGUGGCUGUUGGGAUUCUUACUGGGCUGGAAAAGCUCAUACUACACUUCCAUUUUUUUUUCAGAGGCACUGGAUUCGUAGAAUCUGUCGGAUGGGACAAGAAGUGAGCUCGAACUGGAGUCAGACUGCUAGAUAGUUAGAAGUCAAUUUAUCUUUUAUUUAUGGACAUUUGAAUUUAUGUAAUCAUUCAGUACAUUUUGGUUGGAUUUGAUUGAAUUACAUUAAUCAUUGAUUUUGGUAUUUAUGAAAAUAUUGGAAUUAUUGGAAUUGUUGUACCUUUUAGGCCUUGCAUGAUCUUUAGGGCACUGCUCUAGGGCUCAUGCGGCCGGUCGCGUGCCGGACCCGGGUGAUGGGUUCGGGGCGUGACAGAGUGGUAUCAGAGCUUAAGGUUAAGGUAUCCUAGGGUUUAUGUUCAGGUGAGUAUCAGUGAAGAAUUAUGAUAGAAAAACUAUCAGAGAUUUAGUUUAUAAUCACUUGAGAUUGUAACAAGAAUGAUAUUAUAAUCUAAGGUUUAAGACCACUAGGGACUGUGGCCUUAGUGGCAUUAAAGUUUGAGGUUUAAGAUAAUUGGAAAAUGUGACCAGUUGGAAUCUAAGCAUAUGUUUAAGAUCACUAGGGAUCGUGACAGAAAUAUAUCAUAGCUUAAGGCUNN
rnacentral:lncRNA from 1 species